CGUCAACACCUUUGACCAAAUUGCAAAUUUAUUGACUAAUCACAGUUUGGUACUUUUUACAGUGAAUGCAGAAACUGUCAUAGAAUGUCCUCUGACUGAGGAAAGAAAAACAGAGACCUGUGGAAGAAUUCAUUUCUCAUCAACAAUGGCUAGAGCAUAUAUUAUUUCAGAGAGUUCUCCAGAAAAUGCAAAGACGUUCCAAAUUCCAGAGAAGACAGAAAGGACCUUUAUAAAACCAUUUCUUUAAAAAAGAAGCAGAAGACAAAACUGAGUGCCUGAGGGUGAGAAUUUCCCCCCAUGCACUCUAGCAUAGGAGCCCGGAGUCUUUUUGAGAAAAAUUUUAGUUUUGGUAGAGAUUGUGUGUAACUUUGAAUAGUCACUUAAUUUCCUUUUCACCAUGUGUAAAAGGUAAAUAACAACAUCUACCCCAAUCUAUAUCACAGGAAUUGAACAAGAUAAAGUAAUAUAAAAAUAAUCUAUGUGAAAGAUAACAUUUUAUGAACUGUAAAGUUCCACACUAUUAUCAGGUUGGAAGAAACUAUAAGAUCAAAAUAUUUUCAAAAGAAGGAAACUUCAUAUAUUGUGCACACCUAAUUUAUACACACUUCAAUUAGUUUGGACCAUAGCAUGACAUGACCUACUUUAGUGAAAUAUAUGCAAACAUUUUCAGGCCUGAUGCCCACUCUAAAAUCUAAAUACUGGUGAAAAACUGAUAAUUUUUACCAGUGCACAUUCUUUCAAGUAGUGAGUCACAUGUCAAGAACAACAGAAAUUAUUAAAAUGUUUACUCUAUCAUUUACAUCUGUUUUGUAUUUUAUACUGGAAAUUAACAUUGAAAACUGGAAAUCAAUACAAAGACUGGAUGAUUACUGUCUGUACUAGGGGAACCAGUAACUGAGAAACCCCUGAGUUGUAAGCUUUGUGAUAUUUAAAAAGCCAGAAGAAAAAUGAUCAUUAAAAAAAGAAAUCUGAGAGCCAAAAUCUGAGAUGCUGAAGGCUCCUAGAAUUCAGGGACAGAUUGCAAGUGCUCUGCGCCCAAACAUAGAAGUAAAUAAGCUACAAAACCAAACUGUUCCUUUCUUUCUAACAACUGGACAUUCUUUUUUCACUGCACCGGAAGGCUGCAUCAGAAAAAUGCCCCUUAAUUAGUUUCAUCUGUGUUUAUCAUGAGUAAUAUUUUUUAAAUAGAUCUUCAAGUGACCUUUUCUUUUCCUCACUACCGAUUUGACAUGGUUUGUUUUUCAAUCAUCUCUGUGAGCUUGUGCCAGGCAAGGCUAUGCCUUCUUGUCUCACAGUCUGGGGUUCAGGUAGUGACACUGUGGAGUUCUAGCUGUGAGGUCUAUGGGAGGUACUUUUGUACUAAACAAGUAUAGACCCUGGAUACUCCAAUAAAAGGUCGGCAUUGUCACUUCAGAGUUCUCUUUUCUCAUGGUAGCCUGGCAACCGAAUUGCGUCUCUUUGAUGGAGGGCGUUCCUACUAGAAAACAGCUUUAUGAAAAGUGUCAGGGUCAUCUUUAGAAACCCAAAGAAAACAAAACAAAACCCCCCAAAAAAAGCCUACCACCAAGAAGGCAAAGAAAAAAAAAUCUGCACAACUCAAUUAUUCAGCUGCACACAACUGCGCCUGUCAGGUCUUGGUAAAAACACUCACUUGAAUUUAAUUAAGUUUGUCCAUGUAGCCUGUGAACUGCUCGCCAGACCUGCUGGAAGGGGAUGAAAAGCCUGACGGCAGGCCCCGUGAGGCCAUUGUUGAUAAGGAAGGGCACAACAUUCUCAAGUUAGGUAAAUUCCCAUCCCCUUGCACACAAAAUGCACUGGGGUAAUAUCCUUUUGAAGGGUGUGUCAGAAAGUUGGGUUGCCUGAGAGCCAAGACAGAGGAGAACUUUUCCCACCAAUAACAUAUCCACUUCUUCUGGAGGCAGUGUGCUGAAUGGUAAAGUGCCUGGUCUUUGGAAAGCUAAUGGCCUUUGGAACUUUGAAGUCAAACAAUUAGAUUGAAAUGCCUGUUCUGCCACUUACUCGUUCUGUUAUUCUGGGAAGGUUAAGGAACCUCGCCGAGUCUCAGUUUCCUUAUUUGUAAGCUAGAAAGUCAAAACUACCUGAAAGUUUAUCAGGAUUCAGUGAGGUCCUAUUGGUAAAAUGAGAUACUGUUGGCUCUCAAUGACCCUUCUCCUUAUUUCUCUACUUAAAUCCUCUAAUGUGUAUUCCCAUUUAUUAUAAAAUAAUUUCCAAACUUGGAAACAUGAUAGAGUACUUUCAAAAUCAAACCUUGCCAGUACAUGCCUGUUGCCUCCAAAUGCCUGUCAGAACUAUCUGUCUUCUCCCUUGUGCCUUUUUAUGCUGCAGUACCUGCCAUACACUUUCAAUCUCUUGACUAAAAUAUCUUUUCCAGUCAUUCUUCAAGACCCUAUUCAAGUAUCCCCAAGUCUUGCCUUAGCUCUCCAAGGCAGAAUUAACCACUGUGGGCCUUAGGUUCCCAGAGCACUUUGUACUUUUCUCAAUUAAAAAAUUUUACCUUCUAGAUUGACUUGCUUUUAGUUUUUCCUCCAACAAACCAUAAUCUCCAACAAACCUAUAAAGGAUUCGUUGGCAACCAUUUACUUUUAUAUUAUUCAAAUAUUUAACAAAGUGUUCAAUAAAUAUUUAACUGAUGAAUAGGUAAUUUCCAGAGCAUCUUUAAUUAAGCCACUUUAAAAUUUACAUUUAAAAUGUUCUGUAAACAGAUGCUUAUUGUUUUUUGGCAUCACCCUAAAUUAGCACAGGAUACUCAUAUAAAAAUCCAUAAAUCUGAAAUGUAAAAUAUGAUAAGGAGUAUUGAAAUAAGAAUAAAAGAGUUGGAAAGUAAACAAAUACUAAUUUGUAAUCUAUACACAGCUUGGUCAGAGUAUGCUGAAAACUCCUUUCUAAUAAAAUAACAAACCCAG
rnacentral:lncRNA from 1 species